rnacentral:tRNA from 1 species
GGGCGCGUGGCGGAACUGGCAGACGCGCGGGACUUAGGAUCCCGUGGGACCUCCCCGUGAGGGUUCGAGUCCCUCCGCGCCCACCA